UACGGGGGGGGCAAGCGUUGUUCGGAAUUACUGGGCGUAAAGGGUGCGUAGGCGGCUUUCUAAGUUGGAUGUGAAAACUCUGGGCUCAACCCAGAGCCUGCAUCCAAAACUGGAGAGCUUGGGUUCUGGAGGGGAAAGCGGAAUUCCUGGUGUAGCGGUGAAAUGCGUAGAUAUCAGGAGGAACACCGGUGGUGUAGACGGCUCUCUGGACCGUAACUGACGCUGAGACACGAAAGCGUGGGUAGCAAACAGG
rnacentral:rRNA from 1 species